rnacentral:rRNA from 2 species
UGUUCUAACGUGGACCCGUAAUCCGGGUUGCGGACAGUGUCUGGUGGGUAGUUUGACUGGGGCGGUCUCCUCCUAAAGAGUAACGGAGGAGCACGAAGGUUGGCUAAUCCUGGUCGGACAUCAGGAGGUUAGUGCAAUGGCAUAAGCCAGCUUGACUGCGAGCGUGACGGCGCGAGCAGGUGCGAAAGCAGGUCAUAGUGAUCCGGUGGUUCUGAAUGGAAGGGCCAUCGCUCAACGGAUAAAAGGUACUCCGGGGAUAACAGGCUGAUACCGCCCAAGAGUUCAUAUCGACGGCGGUGUUUGGCACCUCGAUGUCGGCUCAUCACAUCCUGGGGCUGAAGUAGGUCCCAAGGGUAUGGCUGUUCGCCAUUUAAAGUGGUACGCGAGCUGGGUUUAGAACGUCGUGAGACAGUUCGGUCCCUAUCUGCCGUGGGCGCUGGAGAACUGAGGGGGGCUGCUCCUAGUACGAGAGGACCGGAGUGGACGCAUCACUGGUGUUCGGGUUGUCAUGCCAAUGGCACUGCCCGGUAGCUAAAUGCGGAAGAGAUAAGUGCUGAAAGCAUCUAAGCACGAAACUUGCCCCGAGAUGAGUUCUCCCUGAGACUUAGAGUCUCCUGAAGGAACGUUGAAGACGACGACGUUGAUAGGCCGGGUGUGUAAGCGCAGCGAUGCGUUGAGCUAACCGGUACUAAUGAACCGUGAGGCUUAACCUUACAACGCCGAAG